rnacentral:rRNA from 1 species
CGAUACGACCGUACCGCAAACCGACACUGGUGCGCGAGAUGAGUAUUCUAAGGCGCUUGAGAGAACUCAGGAGAAGGAACUCGGCAAAUUGACACCGUAACUUCGGAAGAAGGUGUGCCCUAUUAGUGUGUAGUGAACAACGAAGCAUGAAUGGGUUGCAAAAAAUCGGUGGCUGCGACUGUUUAUUAAAAACACAGCACUCUGCAAACACGAAAGUGGACGUAUAGGGUGUGACGCCUGCCCGGUGCUGGAAGAUUAAAUGAUGGGGUGCAAGCUCUUGAUUGAAGUCCCAGUAAACGGCGGCCGUAACAAUAACGGUCCUAAGGUAGCGAAAUUCCUUGUCGGGUAAGUUCCGACCUGCACGAAUGGCGUAACGAUGGCCACACUGUCUCCUCCUGAGACUCAGCGAAGUUGAAAUGUUUGUGAUGAUGCAAUCUCCCCGCGGAAAGACGGAAAGACCCCAUGAACCUUUACUGUAGCUUUGUAUUGGACUUUGAACAGAUCUGUGUAGGAUAGGUGGGAGGCUUUGAAGCAGGGUCGCUAGAUCUUGUGGAGCCAACGUUGAAAUACCACCCUGGUGUGUUUGAGGUUCUAACCUAGGUCCAUUAUCUGGGUCGGGGACAGUGCAUGGUAGGCAGUUUGACUGGGGCGGUCUCCUCCCAAAGCGUAACGGAGGAGUUCGAAGGUACGCUAGUUACGGUCGGACAUCGUGACGAUAGUGCAAUGGCAUAAGCGUGCUUAACUGCGAGACUGACAAGUCGAGCAGAUGCGAAAGCAGGACAUAGUGAUCCGGUGGUUCUGUAUGGAAGGGCCAUCGCUCAACGUAUAAAAGGUACUCUGGGGAUAACAGGCUGAUACCGCCCAAGAGUUCAUAUCGACGGCGGUGUUUGGCACCUCGAUGUCGGCUCAUCUCAUCCUGGGGCUGUAGCCGGUCCCAAGGGUAUGGCUGUUCGCCAUUUAAAGAGGUACGUGAGCUGGGUUUAAAACGUCGUGAGACAGUUUGGUCCCUAUCUUCCGUGGGCGCUGCAGAUUUGAGGAAGCCUGCUCCUAGUACAAGAGGACCGGAGUGGACACACCUCUGGUGUAUCGGUUGUCACGCCAGUGGCAUUGCCGAGUAGCUAAGUGUGGAAGAGAUAACCGCUGAAAGCAUCUAAGCGGGAAACUCGUUUCAAGAUGAGAUCUGCCGGGGCCUUGAGCCCCCUAAAGAGUCGUUCAAGACCAGGACGUUGAUAGGUCAGGUGUGGAAGCGU